rnacentral:lncRNA from 1 species
UCGUGAGUUUCGACUAGAUGGUAGGUCAUGGAUAAAUCAUCAAAUCUCAUCAUCAGUCAUAUGAUAGAUUCGAUCAACUCAAGUCUAAUUGUGAUCCUUAUAGAAACUCUUUUCCAUCAAUCACAUUACUGUGGCCACAGACUCUCGGACUUAGCCUCUCAAAUCUCAUAGAACUAUUCUUUUCUAUCAAGAUCGAUAGAUUCCAUCUUGAUGUGCACUCUAUUUCUAUAGUGGACCAACUGUUGCCAACAUCCACUAUAAGGGCUCAUUAAGAUCAUGUUUAUGUGUCAGUCAAACUUCA